AUUGAACGCUGGCGGCAGGCCUAACACAUGCAAGUCGAACGGUAACAGAGAGUAGCUUGCUACUCUGCUGACGAGUGGCGGACGGGUGAGUAAUGUCUGGGGAUCUGCCUGAUGGAGGGGGAUAACUACUGGAAACGGUAGCUAAUACCGCAUAAUGUCGCAAGACCAAAGCGGGGGACUUUCGGGCCUCGCACCAUCGGAUGAACCCAGAUGGGAUUGGCUAGUAGGUAGGGUAAUGGCUUACCUAGGCGACGAUCCCUAGCUGGUCUGAGAGGAUGACCAGCCACACUGGAACUGAGACACGGUCCAGACUCCUACGGGAGGCAGCAGUGGGGAAUAUUGCACAAUGGGCGCAAGCCUGAUGCAGCCAUGCCGCGUGUAUGAAGAAAGCCUUCGGGUUGUAAAGUACUUUCAGUCAGGAGGAAGGGUGUGAAAUUAAUACUUUCAUGCAUUGACGUUACUGACAGAAGAAGCACCGGCUAACUCCGUGCCAGCCGCCGCCGUAA
rnacentral:rRNA from 1 species